CACUCACGUAGGUUGAGAGGUUGCCCAGAGUUGGGGCACUGUUGCCACUAGUGUCUACUCCAGGUGGCGGGGAGUGGGGUUGCUCCACAUCAGGAGGGAGGGGGCGAUGUGAACAGGGGCAAGGAUCACCGUGGAGACAUGGCCCACAGUCCACUGGUCCCAAGUCCUGCAGAGAAAAGUGGGCAGCAAGAUCAGAAACCCGGAAUAAAACCCACAGCAUGGACCCUGCUUUUGUGUGCUGGAGUGUGAGGCUGCCCCCUAGUGGCUAAGGUUCAUAAGGGGACUGAAGUUCAAGGAGACUCACCAUGAACUUCUUCCUGUGGAGUUCUGAUGCCUCCUCUUGCAAGCGUGUGUGCUAUGCAGGCUGUGAUGCUCCAGUGUGAGACUGAAUGCAGGAGUCCAAGAGCUGAGCUGUGGUGGCCUCCCUCUCUGGAAAGGUUCUCCCUGUGUUGGAUCAAGAGUCCUUCCUCACUGUCACCAUGUUGCACAUGGCACGUCUCUGCUUUGGCCUGAGAAGGCAGAAGAUGGCCCAAGUGCUUGGGUCCCUGCACCCACGUGCAAGACCCAAAGGAAUCUCCUGGCUCCUGACUUCGGAUGGGCACUGCUCCCGCCAGUGUGGCCAUCUGGGAAACUGAAUCAGUGGAUGGAAGACCUCUCUGUCUCUCCCUUUCUCUGUCUGUAACUCUACCGCUCAAAUAAAUAAAAUAAAAAUUAAAAAAAU